UACAGAGGUCUCAAGCGUUGUUCGGAUUUAUUGGGCGUAAAGGGCGCGUAGGCGGCUCGGCACGUCCGUUGUGAAAUCGCCCGGCUCAACUGGGCGGGGUCAGCGGAUACGGCCGAGCUUGAGCAAGCUAGGGGGCAAUGGAAUUCCCGGUGUAGUGGUGGAAUGCGUAGAUAUCGGGAAGAACACCGGUGGCGAAGGCGGCUCUCUGGACCGAUACUGACGCUGAGGCGCGAAAGCGUGGGGAGCAAACAGG
rnacentral:rRNA from 1 species